AGCGAACGCUGGCGGCAGGCUUAACACAUGCAAGUCGAGCGGGCAUCCUUGUGGUGUCAGCGGCAGACGGGUGAGUAACGCGUGGGAACGUGCCCUUCGGUUCGGAAUAACUCAGGGAAACUUGAGCUAAUACCGGAUACGUGCGAGAGCAGAAAGGUUUAUCUGCCGAAGGAUCGGCCCGCGUCUGAUUAGCUAGUUGGUGAGGUUAUGGCUCACCAAGGCGACGAUCAGUAGCUGGUCUGAGAGGAUGAUCAGCCACACUGGGACUGAGACACGGCCCAGACUCCUACGGGAGGCAGCAGUGGGGAAUAUUGGACAAUGGGGGCAACCCUGAUCCAGCCAUGCCGCGUGAGUGAUGACAGCCUUAGGGUUGUAAAGCUCUUUUCUUCGGGACGAUAAUGACGGUACCGGAGGAAUAAGCCCCGGCUAACUUCGUG
rnacentral:rRNA from 1 species